AAUCCAUAGGUUAAUGAGGCGAACCGGGGGAACUGAAACAUCUAAGUACCCCGAGGAAAAGAAAUCAACCGAGAUUCCCCCAGUAGCGGCGAGCGAACGGGGAGGAGCCCAGAGCCUGAAUCAGCAUGUGUGUUAGUGGAAGCGUCUGGAAAGGCGCGCGAUACAGGGUGACAGCCCCGUACACAAAAGCGCAUGUGCUGUGAGCUCGAUGAGUAGGGCGGGACAC
rnacentral:rRNA from 1 species